rnacentral:misc_RNA from 1 species
GUAAUUGUGAUGUCUUGCUUCUUGCCUGUACCCUUGUCCAAUGCCGUGACAGAAAGAAUACCACUAGCAUCAAUGUCGAACCUGACCUCAAUCUGUGGAACCCCUCGUGGGGCAGGAGGAAUUCCAUCAAGACGGAAACUUCCAAGUGAUUUGUUGUCCUUCACAAACUCCCGUUCACCCUGAAGGACAUUUAUCUCAACGCUCGUCUGCCCAUCUGCCGCAGUCGAGAAAACCUCCGAUUUUGAGGUGGGAAGUGUUGUGUUUCUCGGGAUGAUUUUUGUCAUCACCCCUCCAAGAGUCUCCAGGCCCAGGGAUAAUGGUGACACGUCUAGAAGAACUAUGUCGCUGACAUCUCCGGACAACACUCCUGCCUGUACUGCAGCCCCCAGAGCAACAACCUCAUCGGGGUUAACAGUGACAUUUGGAUCUUUCCCAGUCAUUUUCUUCACAAGAUCCUGAACAGCUGGGAUUCGAGUUGAUCCACCUACCAGAAUCACCUCAUCCAAAUCCUUGAAUGAAAGUUUUGCAUCUCUCAGGGCAUUCUCUACAGGAGUUCUAACCCUAUCGAGAAGGCCAGAGCAAAGCUCCUCAAAUUUGGCCCUUGUCAAAGUUGUUUCAAUGUGCUUAGGACCAUCAGCAGUUGCAGUGAUAAAAGGUAUACUGAUAUUUGCCUGGGUCAAGGAUGACAAUUCCAUCUUGGCCUUCUCCGCUGUCUCGGUGAGUCUCUGGAGAGCUUGUUUGUCUUUCAGAAGAUCAACACCUUCAUCUCUCUUAAAACUUGAAGCAAGCCAGUCAACAAUUUUCUUGUCAAAAUCAUCACCACCAA